UGCCAUGCAGUAAUACUGCGCCUGUUCUGUGCUACAACACAUCUGUCAGUGAUGACCGUAUGAGCGGCACUCUGAACUACUGUAAGAAAGUCUUUUCUCCUGCAGAACAAAACAAUUCUCUCACAACUUUCCAUCUCAUAGAGAAGAACCUGACUCAGUCUGAAGCUCGAGCAGCUUGUAGAGAGAACUACACUGAUCUGGUUACUGUGUAUAAUGAUGAAGACAUCACUGCACUGAUCAGACUGACUGGUAUCGGCUCUGCAUGGACUGGUCUGUACAGGAAUCAGUCCAGUGUAAAAUGGUCUAAUGGUGAUAAAGUUACAUUCAACAAUCAGGAGACUGGAGACUGUGGCUCAUUGCCCUGCUGUUCUACUAUGAAGGCUGAUGGUUCAUGGGACAAAAUUCAGUGUACACAGACAAAAAACUUCAUGUGUUAUAAACAAGGUAAAUACUGAUGACUAACUAUAGUUAUUUCAACUGUAUU